rnacentral:rRNA from 1 species
AACAUUUCUUUUAGACUAUAUUAUAAGUAAGGCCUGCCCACUGUUUAAAAAUAAAGGGCCGCGGUAUUUUGACCGUGCAAAGGUAGCAUAAUCAUUAGUCUUUUAAUUGAAGAAUGGUAUGAAUGGCUUAAUAAAAUUUAUCUUUUUAUAAAAUAUUUUAAUAAAUUUGAUUAAAAGUGAAAAUACUUUUUUUAUUAUAAAAGACGAUAAGACCCUAUAGAAUUUUAUUUAUCUAUAUUAUAGUUAAAUUUUAUUGGGGCAGUAUAAGAAUAUUAAAAAUUUCUUUAAAAUAAAUUUUUAAUUAAUUAAUUUAAUCUUUUAUUAAAAAAUCUUCAAAAAAUUACCUUAGGGAUAACAGCGUAAUUAUUUUUAAGAGUUCAUAUCGACAAAAUAUUUUGCGACCUCGAUGUUGAAUUAUAAUACCUAAUUGGUGCAGAAUUUUAUUAAGGUAGUCUGUUCGACUAUAAAAUUUUUACAUGAUUUGAGU